rnacentral:lncRNA from 1 species
AUGGCAACGCCCUUCAUCACUUGGCAACGCCCUUCAUCACCUGGCAACGCCCUUCAUCACCUGGCAACGCCCUUCAUCACCUGGCAACCGUCAGACAUCAAAGAGGAGUCCCGUGACAGGAACCCAGGGUGGGGUCUACCAGACAUCGACGUUCUGAGACAGCUCUGUUCCCCUACAGGUACCCAGGGUGGGGUCUACCAGACACGACGUUCUGAGACAGCUCUGUUCCCCUACAGUACCCAGGGUGGGGUCUACCAGACUCGACGUUCUGAGACAGCUCUGUUCCCCUACAGGUACCCAGGGUGGGUUCUACCAGACAUCGACGUUCUGAGACAGCUCUGUUCCCUACAGGAACCCGGGUGGGGUCUACCAGACAUCGACGUUCUGAGACAGCUCUGUUCCCCUACAGGAACCCAGGGUGGGGUCUACCAGACAUCGACGUUCUGAGACAGCUCUGUUCCCCUACAGGUACCCAGGUGGGGUCUACCAGAC